UACGAAGGGGGCUAGCGUUGUUCGGAAUUACUGGGCGUAAAGCGCACGUAGGCGGAUAUUUAAGUCAGGGGUGAAAUCCCAGAGCUCAACUCUGGAACUGCCUUUGAUACUGGGUAUCUUGAGUAUGGAAGAGGUAAGUGGAAUUGCGAGUGUAGAGGUGAAAUUCGUAGAUAUUCGCAGGAACACCAGUGGCGAAGGCGGCUUACUGGUCCUAAUGACGCUGGAGGUGCGAAAGCGUGGGGAGCAAACAGG
rnacentral:rRNA from 1 species